GAUGAACGCUGGCGGCGUGCCUAAUACAUGCAAGUCGAGCGAACGGACGAGAAGCUUGCUUCUCUGAUGUUAGCGGCGGACGGGUGAGUAACACGUGGAUAACCUACCUAUAAGACUGGGAUAACUUCGGGAAACCGGAGCUAAUACCGGAUAAUAUUUUGAACCGCAUGGUUCAAAAGUAAAAGACGGUCUUGCUGUCACUUAUAGAUGGAUCCGCGCUGCAUUAGCUAGUUGGUAAGGUAGCGGCUUACCAAGGCAACGAUGCAUAGCCGACCUGAGAGGGUGAUCGGCCACACUGGAACUGAGACACGGUCCAGACUCCUACGGGAGGCAGCAGUAGGGAAUCUUCCGCAAAGGGCGAAAGCCUGACGGAGCAACGCCGCGUGAGUGAUGAAGGUCUUCGGAUCGUAAAACUCUGUUAUUAGGGAAGAACAUAUGUGUAAGUAACUGUGCACAUCUUGACGGUACCUAAUCAGAAAGCCACGGCUAACUACGUG
rnacentral:rRNA from 1 species